rnacentral:misc_RNA from 1 species
UCUCCGUUGGUGAACCAGCGGAGGGAUCAUUACCGAGUUUACAACUCCCAAACCCAAUGUGAACCAUACCAGACUGUUGCCUCGGCGGGGUCACGCCCCGGGUGCGUCGCAGCCCCGGAACCAGGCGCCCGCCGGAGGGACCAACCAAACUCUUUCUGUAGUCCCCUCGCGGACGUUAUUUUUACAGCUCUGAGCAAAAAUUCAAAAUGAAUCAAAACUUUCAACAACGGAUCUCUUGGUUCUG